CUUCUCCCUCUUCUUCCUCUCUUCUUCUCCCCACGCUCCACCGCUCCUCUCUCUGUUCGAGAAACAAACCCACGCCCCACCGCUUCUCCUCUGUUCGAGAAACAGAGAGCGUGGGAGGCGGUGGGAUAAAACCGAAUUUUCGGUUUUUCCUUUAUCUUUUUUUUUUCUUUUUGCAACUUAACAGUUUAGUCCUUGAAAUUUCCAUAUUUACAUAUAGGUCCCCCGAUUUAUAAAUAAAUCUUUAUUAAUAAUUUUCAAAAGUGAGGGAUAUUAC
rnacentral:lncRNA from 1 species